GAUGAACGCUGGCGGCAUGCCUAACACAUGCAAGUCGAUCGGUAAGGCUCUUCGGAGUACACGAGAGGCGGACGGCUGAGUAACGCGUAGGAACACACCCUGCAGUGAGGGAUAAGACACCGAAAGGUGUUCUAAUACCGCAUACGGUCUUCGGAUUAAAGCAUUUAUGCGCUGAAGGAGUGGCCUGCGUCAUAUUAGAUAGUGGGUGAGGUAAUGGCUCACCAAGUCGAUGAUGUGUAGCUGGUCUGAGAGGAUGAUCAGCCAGACUGGAACUGAGACACGGUCCAGACUCCUACGGGAGGCAGCAGUGAGGAAUAUUUCACAAUGAGCGAAAGCUUGAUGGAGCAAUGCCGCGUGCAGGAUGAAGGCCCUCGGGUUGUAAACUGCUUUUAUAAGAGAAGAUUAUGACGGUAACUUA
rnacentral:rRNA from 1 species